rnacentral:tRNA from 1 species
GCGGGUGUGGCGGAAUUGGCAGACGCACUAGAUUUAGGAUCUAGCGCCUUACGGCGUGGGGGUUCAAGUGUCCCUUCACCCGCA